GAGUUUCUGCUACUAGCUUAGUUGGGAAGAGUUUCAGUAGUAAUCUGUGGAUCUUUAGUCGAUCCAUGAGAAGAGAGAAGCAGUUGUUUCAACGUGUCCGUUGUCCACAUCGCGGAAAUGUGUUCAAUAAGUUGGGUAAUCAGUAGGUUUCUCUCAGGUGUUCUUGGCGACCUUGACCUGCUGCCCGCGCCGGAGCCGAGCA
rnacentral:lncRNA from 1 species